GAUGAACGCUGGCGGCGUGCCUAAUACAUGCAAGUCGAGCGAACGGACGAGAAGCUUGCUCCUCUGAGGUUAGCGGCGGACGGGUGAGUAACACGUGGAUAACCUACCUAUAAGACUGGGAUAACUUCGGGAAACCGGAGCUAAUACCGGAAAAUAUUUUGAACCGCAUGGUUCAAAAGUGAAAGACGGUCUUGCUGUCACUUAUAGAUGGAUCCGCGCUGCAUUAGCUAGUUGGUAAGGUAAAGGCUUACCAAGGCAACGAUGCAUAGCCGACCUGAGAGCGUCGUCCGCCACCCUGUCACUGAGGCUCAGUCCACACACUUGCAGUGGGCCGCGGCCCAGACUCUUCCGCGAUGCGCGAGUGCGUAACGGUGCACCGCCGCGUGAGUGCUGAUGCUCCUCGGCUCGUUGAGCUCUGUUAUUAGUAGAGUUCUAAUGUGUAUUUAACUGUGCACAUCUUGACGGUACCUAAUCAGAAAGCCACGGCUAACUACGUG
rnacentral:rRNA from 1 species